ensembl:lncRNA
CGGGGCGGAGGAGGUGGGGGUGGAAGCCAGUUAGACAGAAUUCUUCAUUGUUCGGGCCGAGAGCUCGCCGUUCUGUUGAUCCCGACUGAUCCAAAGAAACAAAACUGCAUUGUUCCUCGCAGAUGGAAGCGAGUGUCGCCAAGGUAACCGGAUUAAUCUCUUUCUCUUUUCUCCGCUUCCUCCGGUGGAGAGGGCUAAUCGCGGCGCGCCAUUCACGCCAAAGCCGGGCCUCAAAGCCCGGGCCUCUAACUAGCCCUCUAAUUAGCCGCAAUUACAAUGAAGACAACAUGAUGAGAUAAUAGAAAUUUGCAGAAUAAUGACAUACCACGGCAAAAUAUUCCUCCUCCUAAGCAGCGCUGCUUUUUUUCCUCCUCUCACCCCGUUGUGUGUGUGUGUGUGUGUGUGUGUGUGUGUGUGUGCGUCUCGGCACCGCCACAAUGAGCCGGGGCCCUUUUUUUUUUUUUUUUUUUUUUUUUAAAGCCGAAGGGGUAGAAUGGCGCUGCAUUCGGAGGCACAGAACCCCAUUGUCAACCUCCUCCUUUUUUCCCCUCAAUCAACAGCCCAUUGUCUGGUUUCUUAAAUAAAAAUGACUCGAAUGCAGGCACACAUAAUGAUCUGCUUCUCACCAGCAUGUGAAACACACACACACGCACGCACGCACUCACACGUGCACGCUAUCGGAUAAAUGCAUGUAUACACAUGCAGACAGUCCUGCUGGUUUGAUACGCGGCUAAAAGAGAGCGGAACAACCGUAUGAACCGAUUCUACUUCCUGUACGACUAAUAACAGCGAGUUACUAAUCACACACCGUCAAAACAGACUACUAAUUACAGCUGUUAUGCUAAUAUUAGCUCGCUUCCUAGCUAUCCUGACUUACACUAGAUGGCUUUCUCGAUGCUAGCUAUGGUAGCUUGUUAGUAAACUGCUGAGUUUUAAGGACACAGUACGAUAACAGCUAGCUUAACAUCAGCGAAUGUCCUUCUGGGUUUUAACUACACAAUACGUUGCUAGUUACUCAGCUAACCGCAAACGCUAAGUACUAACUGAUGCAGAGGUACCAUUAGGUAAGCUAACUAGUAAGCUAGUUUUUAGCAUGUGCGUGUUUUGAAGUGUGAUCAGAUGUCCUGUAUUCACUCAGGCACUAACAGACACUGUGAAUCGUGCAAAAAAUGUAACCACGGAUACGCUUGUCGUAGACACGCCCACUCGGACGCAAUGCUACGUUCGAGUAACGCGCGCCACUUUGAUAAUUAAGCUAGGAAAGAAACAAAGGAAACGCCCGGAGUUUAGAAUUCAGAGGGAUGCGGCGUCGAGUCGAAAUGGCCGCUCUCACCGCGAAUAAAAUAUCUCGUUUGAAAUGUUUUUAUAGGAGUAUUCCCUUCAGAUCAAUCGGAAGGAACGUCAGCAUAGAUUAGCUGGUUAAAAUCGAUAAGUAUGCAGUUUAGAGGGUUGAGAAAGUAAGUAAACCGUUCAUCUGCAAUGCUAACUGGCUAGCUCGGACGCUAUCCUGGAGGCGUCUAUGUUUUUCCUCCACUUUGUAGCGCUGGAAACCCGUAGCAGCUCGAGAUCUAACACUGCCUUAAAGUCCUGUCGGAAACCCCGUAACGACGAGGCGGACGCAGCGUCCGGGAACGCCGGCACGGCGUCGUAAUUACCACUCAGGAGCUCGGAUUUUUCGAUGAGCACCGGGGGCGUGUCAGUAACGAGACGUCAUCGAUAUGAAGCGAUAGUUAUGCACGUUGUCCGUUCAGCUCUUCGUUUUCUUUCAGUGAGGUAAAAUAAACCUCCCGCCACUCGACACGUUUCCAUCCGAGGACCGAUUCAGUCGUUUUGGGGUUUUUUUUUUUUUUUUUUUGUGGGGAAAAAAAAAAAAGGUUUAUCGCAUUGAAAUGUUCACCGAUAUACUUGAUGUAUCUAUAAAAUGAUCAAUAAAAUGUCACAAGCUUAUUCCGUCCUGGCGGCGUCUUCUCAUUAUUUCGUCCAAUUGCGAUUCUUCGCGAAAUCACGACCGGUUUUAAUUCGUCGUCUCGAUGAUAGUCUCCAUUUUACGAGGAUUUGAGGAUACGUGGUACGCAAACGUGGUACGCAAAACGGCUCGAGGAUUUCUUUUGCGGUACACGACGACUUCGGUCGAGUUUUUUUUUCCCUUUUAAGGAUUACAUCAUCACACACACACCAUUUUAGCAGUAAAACGCCAAACAGGCGAGACACAGCAAAUUUUGCCAAAUUAAAACGCGUUUGUUUGUUUGUUUAUUUAUUUAUUUAUUUAUUUAUUUUAACGUAUUUUCACUUUGUCGAUAACAGAACGGCUGAUAAGGUGGACGGAGACUUGGCUAUCGGAAGAACCGACCGCUCGCUUUUACGGUCAGUGCUUUGCUAUCGUCGUAAAUGAACCACGAUAGACGGGGGGAAAAAAAACCAUCCGUGUGCCAAAACACAGAUUACGCCGGCUGUCGCGCUGUGUACAAAAUUUUUCACAAAUAAACAACACGACAAAUAACUCGAGACACAAGCGGCUCGUCCUCGGUGUUUACGGAGAACCCGGGAUCGUGGAUGCGAGGUCUUGGGAGGUCUGAAGGAUCUGAGUUUGCAUAAGCGCGUAUUAAACAGCAUGAAGGAUGAAUCAAUCCGGCGUUUGAAGUCUCCUCGCCAUCAUUAAGCCGACCCGCAUUCAUUAAAACACAUAUAUUCCACUCAAAGGCGCCGCGAUUGUCUUCGUUCUUUUCGUGUCGUACCUUAUUAGGAAGUUUUCCCUCACAUUCAGAGAUGAAAUGGCGGCGAGAUAAACAAGACCGCGGUAAGCUCGUGUGUCAUUAUUCUCAGGUGAGUAGCUAAUGAGGUAAAAAGGUUAGCGUAUUUAAACUUCCGUGCUUGGAUUAUUUGGUAUCAGGUUGUUGUUGUUUAUUUAUUUAUUUAUUUGAUUUUUAAAAAGAUGUUUACUUGUGUUGAUCCGCGAAACCGGUUUGUGAAAACAAUGAGGCCUAAUUAAAGAGCGGGAGCGUCGCCGUUGUGACAAAGCCACGCCGUGUAGUAAGACAAUUCAGCGGCGUGGCGUUUGGAGAAAUAAAUAAAUAACGUGUUAAAUUCACUUCAUUAUUCUCUCACAAAAGGUUUGUGACUCUGUUCAGUGAGCUAUAGUUCACGCUGUGUUGUAAUUAAUGUUGCUAGAAUAUCCGAAAUAUACAAAAUAAUUAGUGUUGGUUCAGUGAAGUGGGGGUUUUUUUUGUUUGGUUUUUUUUUUUUGGAAAAAGGCGCAGGGUGCAUUGUUUCAGGAAAAUAAUCAACAACAGCAUCAGUGAAUUAUCUUCCUAUAACAGCAUGUCGCAAAGUGUUUUAUUCCUCUUAUAUCACGGCAAUUUGCCAAUGAUGACAAUUGUGUUGUAUGUUCUAUGUAUUUACGCCAAUAUUAUGUGUUAUUUUAUUUAUUGAAGAACGACGUAAGACAUUUGUGUCUUUAUAGUUACGUUUAAUAAUGUGGAGAAUCUGUGAUAAAGUUCCCUCACGAGUCGUUCUCUUUUCGCUCUGUUAAAGUUAAUACUAUACCUGUACUUUGUGUACUUUGUUUAUACGUUGUGUACUACACUACUCUUGUACUUUGUGUACUUUGUUUGUACUUUGUGUACUACACUACUCUUAUACUUUGUGUACUUUGUUUACACUUUGUGUACUACACUACUCUUAUACUUUGUGUACUUUGUUUAUACUUUGUGUACUACACUACUCUUACACUUUGUGUACUACGUCUAUAUUUUGUGUACUACACUACUCUUAUACUUUGUGUACUACGUCUAUAUUUUGUGUACUACACUACUCUUAUACUUUGUGUACUACGUCUAUAUUUUGUGUACUACACUACUCAUAAUUAGUGUACUACGUCUAUGUUUUGUGUCGUACACUACUCUUACACUUUGUGUAAUAUGUUUAUGCUUUGUGUACUACACUACUCAUACUUUGUGUACUAUGUUUAUGCUUUGUGUACUACAUUUAUACUUUGUGAACUAUGCUUAUGCUUUGUGUACUACACUACUCUUAUACAUAAGUCAUACACAAAGUGUACUAAUGCUUUCUGUACUUUGUGUGUGUGUGUGUGUGUGUGUGUGUGUGUGUGUGUGUGUGGGUCAG